rnacentral:rRNA from 1 species
GAUGAACGCUAGCGGCAGGCCUAACACAUGCAAGUCGAGGGAGAGGUUACCUUCGGGUAACCAAAACCGGCGCACGGGUGCGUAACGCGUAUACAAUCUGCCUUUCACAUAGGGAUAGCCCGAAGGAAUUUGGAUUAAUACCUAAUGGUAUAUAAGAGCGGCAUCGUUUUUAUAUUAAAACUGCGGUGGUGAAAGAUGGGCAUGCGUCCUAUUAGCUAGUUGGAGUGGUAACGGCACCCCAAGGCUACGAUAGGUAGGGGUCCUGAGAGGGAGAUCCCCCACACUGGUACUGAGACAGGGACCAGACUCCUACGGGAGGCAGCAGUGAGGAAUAUUGGUCAAUGGUCGGAAGACUGAACCAGCCAUGCCGCGUGCAGGAAGAAUGCCUUAUGGGUUGUAAACUGCUUUUAUAUGGGAAGAAUAAGGCGUACGUGUACGUUGAUGACGGUACCUUACGAAUAAGCAUCGGCUAACUCCGUGCCAGCAGCCGCGGUAAUACGGAGGAUGCGAGCGUUAUCCGGAAUCAUUGGGUUUAAAGGGUCCGUAGGCGGGCUGAUAAGUCAGAGGUGAAAGCGCUUAGCUCAACUAAGCAACUGCCUUUGAAACUGUCAGUCUUGAAUGAUUGUGAAGUAGUUGGAAUGUGUAGUGUAGCGGUGAAAUGCUUAGAUAUUACACAGAACACCGAUAGCGAAGGCAUAUUACUAACAAUUUAUUGACGCUGAUGGACGAAAGCGUGGGGAGCAAACAGG